UACAGAGGUCUCAAGCGUUGUUCGGAUUCAUUGGGCGUAAAGGGUGUGUAGGCGGUUUUCUAAGUUUGGUGUGAAAUCUCCCGGCUUAACCGGGAGGGUGCGCCGAAAACUGGGAGACUAGAGUGCGGGAUGGGAGAGUAGAAUUCCUGGUGUAGCGGUGAAAUGCGUAGAUAUCAGGAGGAAUACCGGUGGUGCAGACGGCUCUCUGGACCGCAACUGACGCUGAGACACGAAAGCGUGGGUAGCAAACAGG
rnacentral:rRNA from 1 species